ACCACGGUAGCUUAAUCGGUUAGAGUUUCGCGCUUCGAACGCGGCGGUGCAAGUUCAAGUCUUGCCCGUGGUA
rnacentral:tRNA from 1 species